AAAAGUGAACCCCACCUACGGAAGAACGUAGGUUAGACGGGGAACACAUCGACAAAAGUGAACCCCACCUACGGAAGAACGUAGGUUAGACGGGGAACACAGCGGCAAAGAGUGAACCUCACCUACGGAAACGUAGUGUUAGACGAGGGACAUACUCAAAAGUGAACCCCACCUACGGAAGAACGUAGGUUAGACGGGGAACACAACGGCAAAAAGGGAACCUCACCUACGGAAACGUAGUGUUAGACGAGGGACGUACCCAAAAGUGAACCCCACCUAUGGAAGAACGUAGGUUAGACGGGGAACACAGCGGCAAAGAGUGAACCUCACCUACGGAAACGUAGUGUUAAACGAGGGACACACUCAAAAGUGAACCCCACCUACGGAAGAACGUAGGUUAGACGGGGAACACAUCGGCAAAAGUGAACCCCACCUACGGAAGAACGUAGGUUAGACGGGGA
rnacentral:lncRNA from 1 species